UAGCGUAGGGGGCAAGCGUUGUCCGGAUUCAUUGGGCGUAAAGAGCGUGUAGGCGGCCAGAUAGGUCAGCUGUGAAAACUCGAGGCUCAACCUCGAGACGUCGGUUGAAACCAUCUGGCUAGAGUCCGGAAGAGGAGUGUGGAAUUCCCGGUGUAGCGGUGAAAUGCGCAGAUAUCGGGAAGAACACCCGUGGCGAAGGCGGCACUCUGGGACGGUACUGACGCUGAGACGCGAAAGCGUGGGGAGCGAACAGG
rnacentral:rRNA from 1 species